CCCCUAUGGAGCGCAUCGGAGCCAAAGCACUGGAGGAGUUUGCUGACAGCAUUAAGAACGAUCCAGAUAAAGAGUACAACAUGCCGAAAGACGGAACCGUGCAUGAGCUCACAAGCAAUGCCAUUCUGUUCCUGCAGCAGCUGCUGGAUUUCCAGGAAACAGCAGGAGCGAUGCUGGCCUCUCAGGGUAAAGCAGAAACAUUACAAACACACACUGACAGAUAGAUCCGAGAGAUCUACUGCCUUUAGACGUUUGAAAAAGCAGUUCAGACACAGAUGUAAGCGCAGUCUUGGGCUGCUGAGGUGUCUGUUUCUCAUCACGUUCAUGUUCAUAACACACAGUCUCCACAAGUCUCCUUAUUUGUCAUCUGUUUAUAUUUCCUGUGGUCUGCAUUUCCUUUUCCUUUGGUUUUCCUGACAGACGUUCAGCAGAGCAAACAUGAUCAGUGCUGAGAGCAAACUUCUCUGCUGUCUCUUCCUGCAGAUGGGGCUCUAAAUAAUAAUCAUAUACUGAUCAAAGAGCCUUCAUUAUUGCUCAAACUUUAUUUUUAUAGCUGGAUCUGCUCAGCAGUCUUGCCUUGUGAUCAAAUAAUCAGAAACGUAAUAUUGUUACGUA